UACGUAGGGUGCAAGCGUUAAUCGGAAUUACUGGGCGUAAAGCGUGCGCAGGCGGCUAUGCAAGACAGAUGUGAAAUCCCCGGGCUCAACCUGGGAACUGCAUUUGUGACUGCAUGGCUAGAGUACGGUAGAGGGGGAUGGAAUUCCGCGUGUAGCAGUGAAAUGCGUAGAUAUGCGGAGGAACACCGAUGGCGAAGGCAAUCCCCUGGACCUGUACUGACGCUCAUGCAUGAAAGCGUGGGGAGCAAACAGG
rnacentral:rRNA from 1 species